CACUUGUAAAGGUGACUCAGGGGGCUCUCUGUUCCUUCGCAAGAGACAGCGCUAUUUUCAUGUGGCUGUAGUAAGCUGGGGCAACAGGGACGUGUGCUCCAAACCAUCAAAGACACCUGAAUACUCACAGGACAAACCA